rnacentral:rRNA from 1 species
GACGAACGCUGGCGGCGUGCUUAACACAUGCAAGUCGAACGGAAAGGCCCUGCUUUUGUGGGGUGCUCGAGGGGCGAACGGGUGAGUAACACGUGAGUAACCUGCCCUUGACUUUGGGAUAACUUCAGGAAACUGGGGCUAAUACCGGAUAGGAGCUCCUGCUGCAUGGUGGGGGUUGGAUAGUUUCGGCGGUUGGGGAUGGACUGGCGGCUUAUCAGCUUGUUGGUGGGGUAGUGGCUUACCAAGGCUUUGACGGGUAGCCGGCCUGAGAGGGUGACAGGCCACAUUGGGACUGAGAUACGGCCCAGACUCCUACGGGAGGCAGCAGUGGGGAAUAUUGCACAAUGGGCGGAAGCCUGAUGCAGCAACGCAGCGUGCGGGAUGACGGCCUGCGGGUUGUAAACCGCUUUCGCCUGUGACGAAGCGUGAGUGACGGUAAUGGGUAAAGAAGCACCGGCUAACUACGUG